rnacentral:lncRNA from 1 species
UAGAGAUUGAAGAUUAAACGGAAAUGAGUAAGAAUGAUUAAAUGGUUUAAUCAUUUAUUUAUGGCAAAGAUUAAUUAAUAUGUUAAUUAAUCAAACGAAUAAGUUCGUUAAAGACCUCGGGGAUAGUUUUGGACCUUAAGGCCUAAUGGGCUUCGAACGUCAAGCCCAUUAACUUAAGUUGUAUGACAAUUUAAUGAAUAAAGAUUCAUUAAGGCCCAAAAGCCCAAAUCCCUUUAGGUGGCCGGCCAUGAAGGAUGAAUUAGGGUUUUUGGUUGUUUAGGUCACUUAAAGAAGUGACUAUAUAAAUGACUUUAUAGCCAAAUAUUCAUUAAGGAUUAAAAGGGUUUAUUUUUGGGGAAAAUUGGUGAGAAUUGUCUCUCCAUUUUCUCUCUAAAGAGGCCAACACCUUGGAGGGUACAUCUAGCAAUCCUACUACUCCAAGGUCACUCAUUUUUCUUCUACAAUCCAACCUUGGUGAAGAGACUUAGAGGUUCU